rnacentral:rRNA from 1 species
CUUGACAUCCUGAACACCUCCAAUCUUGUUUGAUCUUGGAAGCCAAACAGAGACAGGCCUGGUUAGUAUUGCCUGUGAAUACUGGGUACUGUCAGAA